ensembl:lncRNA
UGUGCUACAGAGGAGGCUUUUGUUCUUAAUUGUAGAAGAAUAUAGUCCUAAAUAAACUGUCUGGAGAAUGUCUUCUAGCAUUAAGAAAUGGUGAAAUUUAUUUUGAAAAGUUUUUCAAGGGUGUAAUAAUCGCAAAAACAGCUUUCAGUAAUCUCACUAAGAUUGUUUCCAUGAAUGCUGAGAGCUGUGGACACUUGUGAACAUUCACGUAAUAACGUAAUACAAUGUCAUAAACAUGUGUCAGAGUCAGGGAAGGGACAGCAAAUUUGCAGCAGCCUAGAAAAAGAAAUAUCUGAAUAAAGAUAAAUGGCACUUACUUGUCAAAACAGAAUGAGGUUUAUAAAGAUGAGUAAUGGAGAUCAGCAUUAUCUCCAGGAGGUUCUCUGAUUUGCUUCAACCCUAUUACAUACACUCAAAUUUUGUGUGCUGUUCAGUUACAGGUAAGACUAAAAAGCCUAAUGUUCAAUUUUGGAGAUGCUGCCCACAAGAACAUUGGGUUGUGUUCCCACAUGCACAUAUGAGGAGGAGGAAAUGAAACAUCAAAAUGAAAAGAAAAUGGAAUUUCACACCAAUGGCUCUCAAGAGAAAACUGAAGAUUUAUUCAAAUAUUUAUCCUCAUUUUGUGAACUACUGACUCUCCUCAUCCAAACAUGCAAAUGGGAUUAAGCAUAGCUUUGGAUCUUAAACAAACAAACAGUCCAAAGUUCUUACUAUGGAAAUAAUCAUAUUCUUCACAUUUGACUUGAAGCUGAAUUAUUACCAGAAAAAAAUAGAUUGUGGCAUUACAGUGUGUUAGUAAAUAGUAGAUAGACACAGGAGGCUACAAAAAUAAAGUAAGAUUUUCUCCACAUAAUGUCCUGUAAAACAUGUACACUUCACCUUCAUAUGUGAUAAAAGACACAUUUGAAGUCAGAGAAAUUAGGAAAUCAGAGAAAGGAAUCGAUAGCAUGACAUUUAGAAAAGAAGUUUCUUCCUUGCUACCUAAUUCCAAAAGGAGAAAGAAAAUACCAUGAAGAACUUGUCCAUUCUAGAGGUGUUUUUGUUGCUCUUUAUUUCCUUUGUAAAACGAACAUCUUAAUCUGUUCACAGUUUGGCACAUUAGAUUCAUUUCAAUGACAAUUCUUCCAGAUAUCCAAGUAACAAAACUGAAGGAGAGAUGCCACAUCUCAUACUUCUUUCUAUCCUUGCCUAUUAACACACACCUGUGCUUAGAAAGGAAAUAUUAUUGGACCUCAACUAAGAACUUUCUUUUUUUUUUUCCUUAUCACACACUUGUUUAUCACAGUGUAAUAGUCACAGUCUUCAUGAGGUUUGGGCAUGAUUCUGAUCCUUGACAGCUGGAGACAUGCAACAUUUUUGGGGUUCUUUCGUCACUCAGAUUUGAUAAUAAAAAAAUGAAAAAUGUGUCUUCACAAUUUCUUUUCAAAGACAUUCCAAACAACUGGAAGUGGCUACUCAGGAUACAGGUAUAAGGACAGCUUUGCCAUUUGAAUAUCAAUAUUUUUAUUUUGUGUUUUCAUGUACAUCUGUCUGCUCGCAAUCUAAAUGCUGCAGUGAACACAGGAUGUACCGUGAACUAGAACUUCCAUUUGCUAGUAGAUUUUUUUUCAUAAAUGUUCUUUGUAGUCUAUAUGAAUAUGGGCAUUUUAAUUAUUGAUCAGAAGCAUUAUUUCUUAUUUGCAUCUGUGUUGUGGAAGAGUUCUUAAAAACUGAGCAGAAAUUCACGCACAUUUAGAUUAUUCUCUUUUCUGGCUGUUCAUUAGUUAAACGCUUAUGCAACACCCUUCCUUACAAACUGCACUACAUCUCUCCCAUUACUGCUCUGACAAAUCUUUCUGGGCCUGAUCUGCAGGCCUAUGAAGUCAAUAGGAGCCCAUCCAACAGCCCCAGCAGGCUUUGGGUCCAGUCUCUCUCACUUCCAACUUCUUAGUAAGAAAAAAUAUGCACAACACCAGAAGGUGUAAAAUAUGAAUCAGGUAAUAUUCUGUAAUGCAUGUGGGUAAAACAAUGGACUUUGGUCCACCUUUGUGACAAACAUGUCAAGAAAUCAGUGUGAUACCUGUUCACUGCAAAGUAGGAAUGAAAAUCCAGCAAAUAUUUUUGACAGAAGCUAAAUUUCCUUGGUUAAAAGGCUGUCUUUCUGAAAUGAAGUUUCUUUGAUACAUCUCUCUCACUUUGUUUUUUGCCCAGUCCCUUUACCUUUGAAAUAUAUUCUGCGCUGGCCAAACCCUCUUCCUCUGAAGUCAAUGGGAGUUUUACCAUUGAUUUCAAUGGGACAAUGAUCAUACACAGGUUGCAAAACACAGUGAGAAAAAAUAUCAUUGUCAAAGUUGAAAGUAUGAGAAACAUUCACACGAUUUGACAAUUCCACCGUAAAACCUCCAGCAUCAACCAGCUUUUCCGUGUGUUUCCCGCAACUCACGCCCGGCAGCGCAGGAUAACACAAAGCCCCGCGCCCCGGUGCCUUCAACACUCGGCAUCGGAGUUGAGCCCCAGUCUGCGAGGAGUUAGCACAGCCACGCGCUAAUCCGACAGCAAACAUUUUGCAAGCAUCAACCCUUCCCUAAGGGACGAGCAUUCUGCCGCCGGAGCCCAGGGAAGCGCAUGGGAGGGCGCAGCCAGGACGGGCAGCGGGCACCUGGCCGCUCCACUACUCAGCUCCUGAGAUAGGGAGUAGAAUGGAUCAUUGUUGAGGCCCUCCUCUGGACCUGCGCCGACAGCUCCAUGUCCUUCUUGUCUUGGGGACUCCAGAACUGGACACAGUACUUCAGAUGAGGUCGAGUUCUGACCCUUGAGCUUCAAGGGUUUCCCGUAGAUUUUAAUAGAAGCUUGUGCUGGAAACAGGUCAAGAAGAAGGACUAGCCAUCAAACCAUAUUUUUAACAUAGCUACUGCAGUUCCCCACAGAGAACAUUUUUGUCAUUGUUCCUCAGACAUGAACUUGUUGGAUCUGACUGUGCUUUCAUCUUUCUAGUGCUAUCCAGAAGUAACUCGAGUGGAAGUACACAAAAUACAGGGAUGCGAGAGUGGUAUAAGGGAGAUUUAAAAUGGACUUGUGAAAGAAUUUCUCCUGCCUUGCCAUAUGGAUAUUGAUUUCUCUCCCUCAGGCAGAAUAUAAUUGCCUGCUCUAAUUUAGCAUUGAUCUACCCACCCAAGUUUCUUAAAGUGCUACACAGGCCUCAAUUAAAUUAUUCCUAAUACCACCUUUGUGAAGUAGGAUAGCUGUAAUUACUCACACUUAGAAAAUGGUGAGAGGUAAAAAGCGAUUUGUCCAAACCAUGCAGUGCAACAAGACACGAUUAAAGCAGGAGGCAAACAUACUAUGCCAUGUGCUGUACGUCAAAUUACCCUGAGUUUUUCUAAUAGCAAAAUAUUUGUUCAUCCAAUAUUUUGUGAUUCCAAUGAACCACACUUGGUUAGAUACUAAGUGUACCAGGACUUCUGUUGUUCUUAUCAAUACAUCUAUUUUCUCCUUCAUGAGACCUCUAGAGAUCAUUGAGUCCAGCCCCCUGCAAAGCGGGCCCCCUACAAAGGAAUAACACCUCUUGCUGCUGAAUUCAACAAAUGUGGUCUCGCCACUAUUUUUAAGUGUCAUUUUAUUUAUUAGUUCAAGAGAAACCAGCCAGACUGAUACUGAGGAGAAACAAGUACAAAGUAUUUUGUAUACACACCCAAUAGAUCAGAAAAAAUGCAGGUUUUAGCAACUGAAGGAGCCCAACACUAAGGCAACACAAGUUAGGUAAUACUUUGAAUCAGAUAAAAAUGAUAAAGUAGUGCUGAGUAUUUGGGUGACAAACUGAACUUAGUCAGGUCUUCUAUGCAACAUGUGACUUGAAUUCAAUGAGAAGAAACAAAUAGCUGUAGAACAAGUGAAGGCAAUGACAGAGCCUUUAUUUGAGAAAUAGGCACUAGAGGAAAAGAUAUCAGAAAGGAAUUGACUCACCCCUCCCGGUAACAGUGUGGAGAGAGGGACGAGCUGAGAAAUGCGACCCUCCCCGGUUCGUACUGUCGCGCCGCUGGAGAGAAGGGCAGGGGCAAAAGGGGGACCCGCGCAGACUCAGACUGCACAGGAAGUAUUGCAGAGACAGAAGGGGUGGCUCCAGAACCCCCUCCCCCCCCCCACUCCAGGCACCCACACACUCAUGUAGCCCACCCAUCGAUUCAGGCUGUGACUCUGGAAUUCCACUACAGUCGCCAACCAAACAAAGCCCAACCUAGCGCAGUAUUACCAGACUUGUAACCUAUGUAACUGUAGGUAACUACAGAUAAGUUCAAAUGUAAGAUAGAUAUGGCUUUUACAUGCUGAUUCUAGCUUUAUCUGAGAGAAAAAGAAAAUGAUACUGAUAUUGGAAAGCUGUACAAUAUUCACAAAACCUGUCAGCUAUACUACAUGGUGUUUCUUAAACAGAGAAACCACAAGAAGGUCAAUAGCAUGGUUUAUAUCUUUUGACCUUGCUUCGCUAUAUUACUUGACUUGAACCAUGUAAAAUGUUUGCAUUUUUGGCCAAGAAUUUCCAGUAUCGGAGUCCCCUCUGGGCCCUGGAUUGGUUAUAAACAAGUUUAUAGUGAGCCAAGUUGCUUCAGGUUUCACUGUUAACAUUCAAAGAAACUAGGGAUGUAAAAUUUGUUUUAGUAAUAGGAUCUAGCCUAGUAGUCUCUGUAGUCUUACUCUGACAGACAUCAGUUUGAAGAGCUGUUUGUGUCAGGCUGAGGCCUUGCUGUGACGAUAAUAGCAUAAAAUGAUCCAACAGAUCCAGGGUAAAAGUUUUGACUCCCUCUGAAAUAUACCUAAAUAAAUACUCCUUGCAUGUUUCUUAUCUAUAUGAUAAUGUAGACUUGUGUAAAAAGUUUGGACUCUGACCUUUCCAAAGGAUGAGCCUUGAAGCAAACUCUCCUGCUUUACUCCCAUUAGUCUACAUGUACUGCCUGACAAUACUGCAUUUUGCCAGAAAUAUCUUUGUGGUUAUACACUUAACCCAUGUUAAAGAAGAGGGAAUAAUGUCUGCCAGCAAGCAGACAAAAUAUAAGCCUAUCACUGUCUAUACUGCAAUUUAAGCUCUCCUAGAAACACUCUAGCGAUCUGAACUGCAAAGUAACUGUGAAGUUCCAGUGAGAAGUAGUUCAUAAUGAUGCCAUUUGCAGCAGCAUUUUCUGGCUCUCCAUGGCUUCAGCAUCACCCCAAAUGAGAAGAAAGUCUCUCCACUCCAUUCUGACUUUCUUGACUGUACUGAGAUUGUCCAUUUCCUUCUCUAGGGAUGUGGAAAUAAUACUGCCCUUGUACUGAUGUUUCUGUCCUACUGAAAACUGUAAAGCAAGUAGCCUCUAAGGCAAGGGGAAUACAGAAUCAAGUUUCUGGUCUGCUUUAUGGUACAAUAUGAACAUGAAUUUGCCAUAGGAAAAUAUUCAGCUACCAUUUCCCCCUUGAAUAAGAGCAGAUUUAGGGAAUAUAUGUUAACAGUUCUCAGGAAGCACAUUUUGUUUAUGUGAUGUUUAAAAAGAGAACUGUGCCUUUAAGUGUAACUAAGCGAGUAAUGAAAGUAAAUGCAAUUGUUAAUUUUCCAUUUUCAGAAGGAAAACUUUAUAUAUGUAGUCAAAUACACAAAAGGAAGCAUGGAUAGCUUAAAUGUAGCAAGAAGCAGUGAAAAAUUUUCAGCUUUAUGGUGUUUUCCAGGGGUCAAGGCAGAUAAUGGUUUCCUCUGAUAGAAGUUUCUUGGUCAAAGAAAAGCAUUUAAUAGCAGCAAUACCUGAAGCCCAUACUGUGCAACUUUAAGUAUCACCUGAGAUGGUGAACAGCUGGACAUAUUCACAGGGGCUUUUUUAUAUCCCUGGGACAUAAUGUCUUCUCUGAUCAUUUGCAAGAAAUAGAAAUGCUUUUCAUAUACAUGAGUUAAUACGCAUUUUAACUGGAAAAAGCAAGGUACUUAUCAGGAUAACACUGACAGGUGGCAGAGCAACUUGGACAGUACGAGAUAGAUAUUCUCAGCCAGCGGGUACCAAAAGAAAAUGGAAUAAUGCUGACUCGUGUAUGCUGAUCUGACUCCAAUUACAGCCACCUGAUUGUAUGAAAUAGGACAGUGGGACAACUAUUGCCACAAGUGCUUGUUUGCCCCAUUGGAAUUCCUUGAUUUUUCUUACAGUAUCCUUUCAAUCUCAAUAUAGCCAUGCUUUGUGCAGCAGCAUUCAUAAUUGCUUUCAGAUGGAGGAGCUGAGAAUAACACUUCUUUUUCUUGCCUGUGUGCAAAAGAACAAUAAUUGGAUUGUGAAUCAUGUAGCUGCAACUAGCCUGUUCAAAUGAAGACAGUAUUUUUUUCAGUCAUCCUGAGUCAUCUUUUCUUUUUAUACCAUUUUCCCCUUGUCACAUUUUUUUUCACCUUAUCCAUGGCCUAAAUAACCCCAAAAUAGCUCAAAGAUGAUGUAUCAUUCUUACUUUGUUAGCAGAUAAGUUUCAUGUGAAUUCUCUUUCUUACACUCUUUCACUCCCAAACAAAACAGGCACCCUGGUUAAACUUCAAUCUGAUUUUUUUGUAAUCUCAUUUUUUUGGAGAGCUAGAAAGUAUUUCAUGGAUGUGAAUACAUGGAUCCUUCUCAAUUUUCUUUCUUUCAAUCAUGCUACUUCACAAUAGAAAUGUCUUACUAAGACUGCUUACCAGCUUCACUAGCACACUUUAACCACUUUGGACUAUUUUUCUAAGUCAAAAUAGUCAGAAAUCUAAAUCCACUUUGCCAAUUAUUUUAGAUUUAUGGUUCUUUUGUGUUGGCAUGAACUACAGCGACUCAUAGCCACCUCUGCAUACAGGUAAUGUUGAUCCUUUAUAUUUUUUUUGUAGCUCUAAAUUUAUUAGUAAUAUUUCAGUACUGUGCCAGUAUCAGUUGCAACAAAAUAGCUGAAGUCAAAUUUAAAGUUUCCUUUAACUUCCUACUAAAACGUGCAUGUGCACACAUGAACUAUAAAUACACAGACAAGUCUUGAAAGAUGUACAUGAUUGCUAGCUUUAAUCGCCUCUCAGAAAGCUAAAAUUGUUUUUAAAAACCCUCUGUAUUAUCUGAUAAUGCAUGGGUCUUGCUGCGGUUUGUAUUAAGUGUGAGUUUCUCUCUCACAAAAUAAUGUACCAGAUCUCAAGGUUGGCUGUAGGACACACCAUUUUAGCUAAUAUCACACAGGAGAUCAGUUAUUUCCCAUUGUGAUUCCCAAUUGGCAUCUUGCAGUGAGCUUGUUUACUGCUCUGCAGCAAAAUAAAUUGUCUGCUGUUAAGUAUUUAAAAAAAAAAAAAAAAAAAAAACCUGCAUAAAAAUACUGUUAAGUCUCUGACUUAAGCUGACAAAUUCUAGGGAAGACUAAAUUAAAGAUAAAGUAUCAGUACAGCACUUGUUAUGUACAGCAGUAUUGCCCUGGAAUGGAAAAGGGAGUCAGGGCAGGUAAUAGCUUUUGUCUAGCUAUUACCAUGACAGGCUUUUACUUGGAUUCGGAAUAGCAAGAGCUCUCUAAAAGUCCUUCUUUCCUUAUUUAUUGUUUUCCUUUUCAGACAUGAACAAAACAGUGCAAAUGGGUCAGUACUUUUAAGCUAGCUUAUGGCACAAUAAUGAUUUGAAAUGGUUGAGCUGGAAGAAGAAUAGUAUUUGUAAUGGAGAUGUUGACUGAGCAAACCAACAGUGCAAUUAUAAUAUUGACUCUGUGAUAGAAUCAGCACUUCAGGAGAACAGCAAGCCUCCUUGACUUGAGGGUCUCUGGAUUAACUGGUUUUAAAAGGCAUUGGUCGAAAUAUGAAUGCUACACAAGUAACAUUAAGAAAAAGUAGUGUAAUAAUACUUUUGCUUUCUCUGUGCCAACAAAAUCCUGAAAGACACCCAGUGAGAGAAAUAUAAUUUAGACAUUACUCUGAAAAAAAAAAAAAAAAAAAACAAGGCAAGUAAAACCAAACAGAGAAUAUGUUCUGCACUGUGAAGAAUCAGAAAAGGAACAUAUUCUUGCUUCUGAGAAAAGGUAGAAGCAUAAGAAUAAAUGUAUAGAUGGCAGAUGAAAAGUGCUCUUCAAGAAGUGUGGACUUGGAAGAGAUGCCAAAGGAAUGCUGAUAAAGCUGUGAAACUAAAUAGGAAAAAAGUGAUUAGGAGAGUGCACUGGCUCUUUCUGGGAUGGAGGUCUGUCAACAAAACACUGCUGAUAACACAAAGAAGUCAAAGUCUUCUCUGUUUCUCACUCUGCCCUACUAGCUAGUAAGCUGGGAUAGUGCAAGAAGUUGGGCGAGGAUGUGACUAAGCAGAUGUCCCAAAGUAACCACAGAGAUAUAGCAUAACGUCAUGCAAUGAAAAGGGAGAGGAGGGGGUUUGUGGAGGAUAUUCUUUUCCUUGGAAACUAGCUGGGCAUCCAUCCACCUGCUGGGGUUGGUGAGAUACUGCUUUUGCAUAGCUUUUUUUUUUUUUUUUUUUUAAGAUUUUUCUUCUCUCUUCUUGCAUUUCUCCUUCACAUAUUAGACAUUAUUUUUUCAAUCUUGAACAACAAGUUUUCUUACUUAUACUCUUCUUUUUUUUUUUUUUUUUUCUUUUCCCAUUGCUCUGAGUGCAGAGAGUGAGUGAGUGGCUGUGUAGUGCUUAGCCGCUUACUGGAGUUAUUCCACAACAAGGAGAGAACAAAGAGUAGUCUUUGUUGGAUAAACAACAUAUCUAGGACAAUAAUAAUAAUAACAAAUAGUUACAUCUGGCAAUAUUAUGCAUUUUGAUAAUCUCUUGCAGAGGCAACAAAAAUCAAAGAAUAAAUCUAAUUGCAUUCAUAUUUUUCAUAACUUUCAGAUCCAUGGAAAGACUAAUAUAACAAAACUGUCCCUAUCCCACCACGCAUCUCCCCUCCCAGUGCUGCUUCCAGGACUACAGAAUCUUGUGUGGGUCAGAAGACAAAAUCCUGAGCAGCCUACAUAAGGGAAAGAAUAGUUGUCGUCUCAUUCAUUUGAUAAAAAUGGAUCAUCUUAUUCAAAGCUAAAGCAUAUUGGUGGAAAAGAAAAACUAUUUGCAGAAGUGGUAUUUCUACCAGUUACUAUUCUAGGCUCAGAUGCAAAUCACCAGGCACAGAACACUUAAAUCAGGAAAGUCACUUACAUUGUGUAUGGACAGUAGAAAAAAUAGCACCUUCAGACCACUAGUGUUCUAAUUUACUCGUGGAAAUGUCUUUCUCUGUUGGCAGCUACAUUCCGAAAAUAGACAUAAUCAGCAAUAUAAGGUGAAGGGAUUGGAAUAUGUGUUCUAAAUUUAGCUAAUUGUCCUUGCUCUGUGUCACCGUGUUUAUUUAGUGCUUCAAUAAUUGUAAGAGUUUCUCUAUGCGGGGACUCUUCCCAAUAAAAAUCUAUCCUUGUGAAGCUGCACAACUUCUUCACAGGCUCUGUAUGGAACAGUUGCUAUUUUUCAGUAAGAAUGUGGGUUGCAGCUGUAGAGAACAAAGUUUGGCUUCUAUUUUCAAAGCCUGAGGCUCUUGUCUGCAAAGACAACCUCUUGCUGCUUGAGUUGUGCAGUGUUUAAAUAAAAGUAAUCUCAGUGUUAAAUUCAAGCUCUCCAUGCCAUAGCAAUGAAAAUAACACACUGUGCCUGGGAAUUGCUUGUAGGGCUGGAGCCAUGCUGCUGCAAGCAGGUGUGUGCAUACAAAUAGUAAGCAAGGGGAUAGGAGCCCUCAGAGAACACUGGACUUUUUGUGUUUCCUGGAGAUUAAGUGGCUCAGCAGUUCAGUCAUUGUUGCAGCAAUGGGUGACUAGAUGAAUUCAUCUGCUUCCAUGAAUAGAUCCUGGGAGACCACUAAGAGAAUUUUUCUUCAUAUUUUCUGGCUAAUUCUGCGUAAGAUGCUUUCACACAAAAAAACACUACUGUCACUGAACUAAUUUCACCCAGUGUUGCAUUUCCUUAUCAAUAGAUAUUACACGUUGCUCUUAUUCAAAUGAAUAAACCAACAAAAAUUUAAAGUACUCAAAGAGCACAGGAAAAGGGGGAAAACGGGGGAAAAAAGAAUAUAUAUCUCUGUCAAUACCCUGUGGUUACACAUAUGCCUUAGUGCCUCUCAUACAUUCCCUGCCCUUGGGCCUGGGCACCCCAUUUCAGCUCUGCCUGCAGUUGCUGCUGAGCUGUGUUUCAGACAUAUCUUUGCCUUGUCCUCAUUUUGCACAUUGUUUGAAUUUUAUGUGUUGGUGCAACCUUGCACCUGACUCACCAUCUCACAUUUGUCUCACCUUCACUGGACUGUUUAUAGGAUCUGCAGCUGUCACCUCCCUGAUCUGCUCACCAUCUUCAGGUCAUAUGAGAUGGUGAGGACAUGGCCUGAAGACACUCAGAAAAAAAAUAUCUUAAUUUGGGAUAUUUGGGUCUUAUUAUUUUGAUGGGAGAAAUUAUGUGGUAAUAUGUUGUAUUAUGCUGUUGAUAUUAUCUUUGACUUGUACUACCGUAAUUUCACAGUUUCUACUCAUUUUCAAUGUUCACUGUUUCAUUCUUGUGUGGAAAUAUUCCACUCUGUAUUUCUUUCAAGAUGAUUCUAGCUGGUUUAUAGUCUCAUUUAACAUGCAAGAGAACACUCUUCUAAUCACUGAUUCUACAUCCCAAAAUAAAACCAAGAAUCCUUAUGCUUACAGUUUGGUUAAUACAGACUUAAUUUAGAAGUUCAAAGUUUUAGUGUACUGAAAUAUAUAUCAUUAGAGCUCUAACGUGCAACAUCUGCUUACAACUGAUAAUGCCACCCUUUUGUAAGUGAACAUUCAAUCCUAACUCAUUAUGCUUCUCCAAACAAGAUAUAAGCCUGAAACCUAGGAAGGAGAUUUGCUUCUGUUCACAGAGAUUGAUGCAAUCUGUAAUUAGAACCCCAUACUCUUCCCAGCUGCUGCUGUUGGC